rnacentral:lncRNA from 1 species
UUGCUCUGUCGCCCAGGCUGGAGUACAGUGGCAUGAUCUCAGCUCACUGCAACCUCCACCUCCCGGGUUCUAGCGAUUCUCUGUGCCUCAGCCUCCCGAGUAGCUGGGAUUACAGGUGCCUGCCACCACGCCUGGCUAAUUUUUAUAUUUUUAGUAGAGACAGGGUUUCACCAUGUUGCCCAGGCUGGUCUUGAACUCCUGACCUCAGGUGAUCUGCCCACCUCAGCCUCCCAAAGUGCUGGAAUUUCAGGCGUGAGUCACCGCGCCCAGCUCUGCUCCAUUUCUGUAGCCUUAGUCCAUCCGGAACCCAGCACUGGCGGUCCCUCUACCAGUCUUAUUCUCUGUCAAAGUGCCCGGGUUCUUCCCUGAAAUUCCUUGUCCAUCCCCAAGCACCUCAACACAGGUGUUAAAUGACCUACCACAGGAAUUAGGUCAGUUAGGUUCAGCUCUCAGCUAAGUGGGAGAGGUAAGAUGGGAGUGGGGUGAUAUCCCCACCCUCAUUCUCAAAAGAACAAAGGUUGGAAACUUGGCUCCCCAAUUUUGGAACGAUGCCCUUAGUACUUUCUACUCAGUCAAAUGUGACUCUUCUUCCCUCUGUAAAGGGGUUAAAUUUGUGCCAAUUCACCCAUACGCUGUCUCUAGUUCUGUGCUAGGUUGUAGAAACAGGACAAAGCUGUGCGCCACCCCCUCAUCCCCAGCCUCCUUAGAGCCCAGCUCUUGCAUAGGGGCGUCACCCUCCAUGGUCAAGCAAGGGUGGGCCCCUUCUCACCCACUUGGGCCCAGUCUCCCACCUUUCUAGGCUUCAGCUUUUCUUCUUUCUAGGUCCUAAACCUUGGAAAAGGUUCUGUCAUCUGCAUAAAUCUCGAGGUAGCUGGGCCCAGUUAAGCACUGAAGGCUGCCCCGGUUCCUUACUCUCUAGCUCUUCUCCCCAUUUCUCAUCCCCCCCCCCACCUUUUUUUUGUGUGUGUGUGAUAGGGUCUCACUCUCUUGCCCAGGCUGGAGUGCAGUGGCAUGAUCUCGGCUCACUGUAACCUCCGCCUCCUGGGUUCAAGCAAUUCUCCUGCCUCAGCCUCCCGAGUAGCUGGGACUACAGGUGCACACCACUACACCCGGCUAAUUUUUAUAUUUUUAGUGGAGAUGGGGUUUCGCCGUGUUGGCCAGGCUGGUCUCGAACUCCUGACCUCAAGUGAUCCACCUGCCUUGGCCUCCCACAGUCCUGGGAUUACAGGUGUGACCCACCACACCCAGCCCUCCCUGCUUUUCUUUUCUUUUUGUUUUAAAUUUAUUAUCUUUCUGUCCUGCCUGUUGGUUGGGUGACUGGAGCCUGGAGUUCCCUAAAGGAAAAUUUUAGAAGGGAAACAUUCUAAUCUGUAGAAAAUCUUCAAAUUCCUAAGCAAACAAGAGCAAAAGAUCUCAAAGUAAACAGGCCAGCAGACGGAGAGUCUUCUUUAAUGCACUUUGAUUUCCUCCAAGAAGUUACAGAUUGUGUGGGGACAGGUAGGACUAAGAGUGCCUAGAGAAAGGGGAAGUGAUAUGAGGGGGAAAUAAUAUAUCACAUCAGCAACUUCCUUGAAUUCAGUUCCUUGAUUCCUUCUGCCUGCCUUAUCCAUCAGGAUACAUUUCCUGUAGCGGCCACGUGUACCAAGUCCUUCCAGAAAGUAAGGAUUUUUCUUUAAAGAGGGAACAAACUAGUCUGAGCAAUCUGAAGACCUUCCCCUGGGGCCUGGAAAUUCAGAAGGCUGGGAGCUUGGGUGGAUUUGCAUGGAAAGUUCAGUUGCUACUGGAAGUGAUUAAGUGGUGACAGAAUUGAGUCUGUCAGAUGGGUCUUCCUUCCCCAAGACUUCCCACCCCCGUACCCACCCACUCCCCCACCCCCAGCUUUCUGCCAGAUUUUCAUUAACUUGCCUUAAGUGUAGCUGAAAUUUCAUUUGGCAAGAAAAGUCUGAGUUGUGGAACUCCAGUCUGAAACAUGCCCAAGAAACAUUCCCCAACCUCUGGUGCCUGGACAAGAAUAUCCUAGGCUGUUUCCCCAUUGAAAGAGAGCAUUACAGAAACUGAAACUGGACCUCACCUGUGUUUCCCUCCUAGAGAAGUACGACUCUCCAACCCAUUCCUUCAUUUGCAUCAAAAAGAACUAUUCUCCAGGCCUCCUGCCAAGGGCAGGAAUAAGAGGAAUAAGUCAUGGCCUCUGCCCCUAAGAGCUCCUUGCUUAGGUGGAGAGGGAGACAGACAACUGCAUGGAAAGGCGUGAUGAGAUGAAAGCCCAUAGCACGGGAGCUGAGCCCAGGCACCAGCGCGGAGUGCAGGUGGGAGAGACGGGACCCGAGCUCAUAUUCCAGUUAGCUAUUUACCUGCCAGUACUAUAUUAUCUUAUCCCAUGCCCCAAGUGACUGUGGCAGGCACCCUUUUCACAGGGGGCAGGAAGUAUGACCCAGCAUCAGCCAAUCUGAGUCAUUGACAAGUAGGACUGGACUCUGAACACUGACAUGAAAAUAGGGCCAAGGCCCACAAACCGGCCAGCAAUCCAGGCCUUCCCACCUCCGUCAUUGAGAGGCAAUUUCCCAAGGCAGGACCUUGCCACGUGGCCCACUGUAUGUUUCCUAGCUACUGGACAGCUGGCUCUAUAGACUCUUCCGUGUACAUAAAUUCAGUCAUUCUUUUCUCAAAACACAGAGUAAACCUCUGGUUUGAAAGAGAGACUCAAGCCUUGGACACACAAAUAUCCUGCAAUCUACAAGUCAAACGGGAGUGGAAGCUUUCAUUUCUUAGAGGCUAGAACCGGGAAUAACAGUACCCCCAGCAGACUGACCAUGAAGGGUUCUGUCUGUGUGUGCACAACUUCCCAGGCCUGAAAUGUGUGCAGCAAGGAUGUCCUCAAGGGGCUCUUGUGCACGUUGCCCUCUACCCAUGGUCCCCACAGCGGGACCAGCUCCACACACAGGGAAGAAUGGAAAGGACACCCAGAGCCAACCUGGCCCUGGGACCUCCCCUCCUGGCUUUCACGGCUCCUCAGAUUGGGUCAGUCACACCGAAAGGACUUUCUGGAAGGAGCGCACCAGAAUUUCUGUUCUGGGAAGAUGGUGGAAGGCAGAGCUGAGUUCAUUGCUUAUGGAGGGGAGAGAAUAGCCCCUGCACAGAGCCUCCAUCGCGGCUGCCAGGGGAAGUGGAGAGGCUAGGAUCUCACUGAGAAUUUCAAGAUUGGUUUAAGGAGGGCCUUUCAAUGCAGGGGCUUGCUUGGGAUUGGGGGAGAUAAUGAUACAGUAGUUUCAGGUUGGUGGCAACAGCUAGGCGAGGGGUUUGAAAUGUCUUAGGUGUGAAAUGUCUGUUGAUGCUUCUAUUAAAUAAAGCUCGCCUAUUGAAGAGUUGAUGGGCCUCUUGGGAAAUUCCUGUAAUAAACAAUGAAGUUAUUUGCCUGGGCAAGAGACUCUUGGAAUAGUAAAGUUAUUGUACCAAAGACAGUGGGAGAAAAAAAGUCAUGUUAAUGCAGACAAUAAACUUGGAGGUGGAAGGGGAUAGUUUCUGCCUCAAUCUGACUAGUCAUUAGGCCUAAAGACCUGAGGGCUAGGACACAUGUCAAGUAUCUUUCAACACAUUUAAAAAGUUAAAAAUUCAGGAAAUGGACCCACGACAAUGUUGGAGGUCUGCUAAGCAGGACAGGGAGCAUGGAGGAGGGGUGCAUUAAAAAACAAGCCUCGGGCCAGUCUGGGUGGCUCACGCCUGUAAUCCCAGUGCUUUGGGAGGGCGAGGCAGGCGGAUCACAAGGUCAGGAGAUCGAAACCAUCCUGGCUAACACGGUGAAACCCCGUCUCUACUUAAAAAAAGACAACAAAUUAGCUGGGCUUGGUGGCGGGCGCCUGUAAUCCCCGCCACUUGGGAGGCUGAGGCAGGAGAAUCGCUUGAACCCAGGAGGCGGAGGUUGCGGUGAGCUGAGAUCCACCACUGCACUCCAGCCUGGGCGACAGAGCGAGACUCGGUCUCAAAAAACAAACAAACAAAAAAACAAGCCUUACCUGUUUUAGAAUCUCACCUAUCACUGACGAGCCUUAGCUCCAAUCCCAUCACACUAUAAUUCACACUGCAGAGGACCCAGCUAAUCCAGCUAUGGGUGAAUAAUAAUGGUAGUAGGUGUCAUUUAUGAAACAAUGACUAUAUGCCAGGCAUAUGUGAUCAUCACAGGGGGACAUUAUUGAGGAAACCAAGGUUCAAAGAGGCUUGGUAACUUGUCUGAGGUGAUGAAACCAAGAAAAGUGGCCAUUCUGGGACUCAAACCUGCUCCCUUUGGCUCCAAAGCUCUUUGUUCCCAGACUGGUCAGGGUGAGCCUCCUCAUUUUACUGAAGAUGUUCAAGGCUUCUCAACAGCUGCCAUUUUCCAGUGCAGCUGGUGUUAAUCUUACAUGGCCCUGGCCACCAAAUAAACUUAUUUUACUCUGAGAAGUCAUUUGCUACUGUUUCUAUUGUGUAAAAUUUUUCUCAUAGGAAACAUUGAAAAGAUACCUCAUAGGAGUGUGUGAAAAGUAAGUGACAGAUGCUGUAAGUCCAUAGGAAAUGGC